UGGAUAUGUUAAUAGCAUAUUCAUUUGACGUUAGCUGCAGAAGAAGCACCGGCUAACUCCGUGCCAGCAGCCGCGGUAAUACGGAGGGUGCGAGCGUUAAUCGGAAUUACUGGGCGUAAAGCGCAUGCAGGUGGUUUGUUAAGUCAGAUGUGAAAGCCCGGGGCUCAACCUCGGAAUUGCAUUUGAAACUGGCAAACUAGAGUACUGUAGAGGGGGUAGAAUUUCAGGUGUAGCGGUGAAAUGCGUAGAGAUCUGAAGGAAUACCGGUGGCGAAGGCGGCCCCCUGGACAGAUACUGACACUCAGAUGCGAAAGCGUGGGGAGCAAACAGGAUUAGAUACCCUGAUAG
rnacentral:rRNA from 1 species